AUUUCCUUUUCCUUAUCUCUGCCAGGUUUUGACAGUUUGGAAUAAGCCGUAGAGGAUUUUUACCGUCUCUCCUGAGGAUCCCCUACCGCCUGUGCGCAAACAUCCUACACCUGUUCUAGCUUGAGGGCAAUGCCCAGCCCAGCGUUCCAGAAAAGACCCGACUGUCCAGUAAGGGCCGCUCUGCAGAACUCCCUUGGCAGGAGAAUCCCGUCAGAAGCCAGGAUUUAACAAGAAGGUGAACCUGGACCACAGUCAGAACCAAAGAACACUCUGUGUGGAAUGAGAACUCUGCGGAGAAGCCCAUCUUGCUUGGUUCUGAGACCCAUCGCAUCCCCUCAGACCCACAGGAAGCCUGCCUUUCCAACUCUGUGGAAGCCUGGAGUCAUGUCCAACCCCAGUGCCUGCCCAGUUCUCACCCCAGCUCUGAGAGAUCUGGGUUUCUUUCAGAGCUUGGAAGGUGCAGGACUCUCCUAGGCUGUAGCUGCUUUCAAGGAGUUGACCCUAGCUCUGGCAAGAGACAGAACCCAGAGCUGCCCACAACAAGGACUGGAGGAGGCCAUUGCUUGUACAUGAAUUUAUCAAGCAAAGAGAAAGAUCUGGAUGUGAACCCAGCCAGUCGGAACAUUCAAAAUAAGGGCUGGGCUCCUUCAUCGACUGAUUCUGGGAAGAGUCAUCAUCAGACCCUGUUUGCUUGUCCUGUUCCAGCAGACAUGUCUCAUGUUGCCCUGCUUUCCCUCCACUACCUGGGGGACAUGUCACACACUCGGUGUUCAAUGUCGUUGUAUAAAUUCAUUACGUUCC
rnacentral:lncRNA from 1 species